AUGCAUACCAGGGGUGCAAGAGCCUUUGGACAGUGGUGUUAAAGUGUGCAUGGCUUUAUGAGUGGGAGCCACAGGACAGGGCAAGACAGAAACAGAAGUGAUGUAACAUUUAAUUGCAAUUACACACUAAGAAAAUGAUCAAACGUAUGAAUACUUUCCAAGAAGUCUCUGCUGCUUCAAAACAGACCUGACCAUGGGAAAACUGCUACAAACUUAUCCAUACACCCAUACAUCAGAGAAAAUUAGGUUGGGAAUGACCUCUUAUGUUAUAUGAAUUUAGUACAUUUUAGAUGAAAUGACCUGAAUCUGAAAGCACUUCAGCAACAAAUAACAUGAUAAAGGAGGUAUCUCCAGCACACCAAGAAGGCCAUAUGGAGGACCUUCUAGCCUGGAAGGACCAUUCAAACUACAGUGAUUCAAUACAAGAUGAUUAAGAUUAUUCAAUAAGUCCCUGUCAAAGAAAAGAUUGCAUUGCCACAGUAAAGACCUUAAUUAUUUUUUCUCUUUUCCAGGAUGAACAAGAUCAGUUUCUUCAGCCUGUCUUCAUAAGAGAAGUGCUCCAGUCCUUGGAUCAUCUUUGUAGCCCUUCUCUGGAGCCUCUCCAAAACCUCCAUAUCUUUCCUGUAUUGGAGGCCCCAGACCUGGACACAGUACUCUAGACGGGGCCUCACAAGGGCAGAAUAGAGGGGAACAAUCAACUUCCUCACUCUGCCGGGUAUGCUCCUAAUUUUUCUGUUUGUGGAGUAAAUGCUUUUAACAUGCAGCCACACUAAGUGUAUCACCUCUAAAAGCAUCUUACCAAGAACAAGACUCCAGUUCAAGUACAAUGGAUCUUCAGCAGGAGGGCUACCAUGAGGAGAGCCGCUACCUCAUAGAAAUAAAAAUAAACCUUAAAGUAACUUCCAGAGUGAAACUACUGUGAAUCUAUUAUGUUUAAGAGGCUAAACUUCGGAUAUUUCAAGAAUAACCAAAAAAACAUUUUGUAGUUCACAAACAGCAUUGAACACACUGGGAAACAUAAAAUGUGUAAAUAAUAGAAGGCAAAAAUCUAUUUCAACAGUAUUUUCAAGGAUUAAUUACAGAGCUAAGAACAAAAAAAAAAAAAAAAAGAAACUUAAUUUCUGUGUGAAGAAUAAUUGUGAGAUUUUUAAAUGGGAACAAAGGCAGAUACUUCUAAUGAAAUAAAAUAUUUGAACACACAAAAAUCUCAUUGCUAGCAAACAAAGCGUUACAUGGCAGUUACAGUUUUUAUACCUUCAAGCAAAGGAACCUUAGCCUUAGUAUUUCAUAGAGUUAAUAAAAUUGCAAAGAAACUGUUUUCUGAAACAGAAAAUUCUACUGCUCCACUCAGAAAAGUUAAAAUGGAACAUUCUUAUUUUUUGAUGAAAUUUUUUUUGCGUUUGCCAUGUUUCUACACAACAUAUCACUUUAAAUGAAUCAGCAACUUCUUACUGAAAAACACUCCAUCUGAUAAAAUUUUAGUAAGCUCUACUUGAAAUGACAAGCAAGAAAACCUUCUAUUUAACAAGGAUUGCCAUCAAAUCAGAUCACUGUAGUGGUGCUACAUCAAGCAGCUAGCUGCACUGGAGCUGAGCCAGACUUGCCAUCCACUGUCUUCUUUCUGCCCAUAACCUGUCAUACCAGUGCCUUCCCACCACCAUCUUUUGUCGCCAAAAAAUAAGG